CCUGACUCCGUCUAGCCCCGCCUCCGCGAGAAGAGGCUGAACUGCCCCAUCUGCUUUUAAUUUCUUUCUUUCUUUCUUUCUUUCUUUCUUUUUUUCCCCUCUUUUCCUUUUCUUCUUUUAAAUAUACGUUUGGAAAUUUGCCGGGCGUGGUGGCGGGCGCCUGUAAUCCCAGCUACUCGGGAGGCUGAGGCAGGAGAAUCGCUUGAAUCCGGGAGACGGAGGUUGCAGUGAGCCGAGAACGCGCCACUACACUCCAGCCUGGACGACGAGAGUGAUACUCCGUCUCAGUCAAUCAAUCAAUCAAUCAAUCGUUUGGUUUUCGUUUUAUGCUUUUACUUCCAAAUUUAUAUUUGUUGCAAAAAAUGUGGAAUAUAAAAAAGUGUAAAGGUGAAACUGAAAUAAUCCGAAAUUAUAUUUCCCCCUCUGUGGUUUUUUUUUUCCGUCUCUGUGUUUUUCAGUGUUUUUCAGGCCUUCUGUCUUGAGCUCGUAUUACUGCUGUUCACUGAUGUAUUGUAAAAGCGUAAAACCGGACGUGACCCAAAUGUCUAUCAAAGGAGACUGAUGAGAGAAAUAAACGGAUUUGUUCACACAACGGCUUCUACAGCAAAGAAACAGAAGGUAGCUCCAAGUGCUCUGAAAUGGAAAGAAAUGGGGUUUGGUCAUGUUACCCAGGCUGGUCUCAAGCUCCUGGGAUCAAGUGAUCUGUCCGCCUUGGCCUCCCAAAGUGCUGGGAUUACAGCGGGGAGCCACUGCGCCCAGCCCAGCCAGCACGAUUCUGACCCAGAGGGUUUAGAAGUUGCUUAGACAGAUCUGCUCCUGCGAGUCAAGUGAAGCAGUGGGAGACGGAGGACAAAAAGAAUUUUGACUAAGGCAAUAAAUAUAUUAUACAAGUGAAGUAUUUCCCAAAUUGUAUUCUGUGAAAUGCUGUGUUCUCAAAUGUUAACAAGUUCCAUACAAGAACCAUUUAUUUCUAAAUUCUAAAGUCACAUUCAUAUUAUGAAUUAUAUUAAACAUAUAUAGUUACUUUUAUUAUACCUAAUAAUCUGUCUUUAUAAAAGUGUUUACCCAAAAAUGCCAGCAGAUUCCAUGAGAAACUACCUGUACUACAAUGAUCGUCAAACUUUGGUGCAUACAUGACAGAAUCAACUGGAGGGCUUGUUAAAGGAUUGCUGAGUCAAACCCCUAGUUUCAGCAGGUUUGUGGUGGGGCCUGAGAAUUUACAUUUCUUUUUUUUUUUUUUAGACGGAGUCUCGCUCUGUUGCCCAGACUGGAGUGCAGUGGCGCGAUCUUGGCUCACUGCAACCUCCGCCUCCUGGGUUCAAGCGAUUCUUCUGCCUCAGCCUCCUGAGUAGCUGGGACUACAGGUGCCCGCCACCAUGCUCAGCUAAUUUUUGGAUUUUUAGUAGAGACGGGGUUUUACCAUAUUGGCCAGGCUGGUCUCGAACUCCUGACCUUGUGACCCACCCACCUCGGCCUCCCAAAUUGCUGGGAUUACAGGCAAGAGCCACCGCGCCCUGCCGAGAAUUUGCAUUUCUAACAAGUUCCCAGGUGAUGCUGACACUGCUGGCUCAUGGAACCACUGCUGUAGUAUUUUCCAAAUUAUCCUGAUUCUAAGAACCACCUAUGACCUGUGCUGUUUUUUCUGUGGUUACUGGCUCAUGUCACAUAAAUUCUUUUAAGAUUCAAACAUGUUUGUGAUAUUACUCAGUAUUUACAUCUUGCUUUUACUGCAGCAUGACAGAAAAAUUAACCACAGGUAUAUCAUAACAAAAAGACCAUGAGUUACCAUUUUCACAAAGUUCAGAUAUAUUUAAAUUAGCCUAUUUAAUCUUUUUUUGGUUGUUGUUGAGAUGGAGUCUCACUCUGUCUCUCAGGCUGGAGUACAGUGGCACGAUCUCAGCUCACUGCAACCUCUGCCUCCCAGGUUCAAGUGAUUCUCCUGCCUCAGCCUCCCGAAUAGCGGGGAUUACAGGUGCCCACCACCACACAUGGCUAAUUUUGGUAUUUUUAGUAGAGAUGGGGUUUUGCCAUGUUAGCCAGGCUGGUCUUGAACUCCUGACCUCAGGUGAUCCGCCUGCCUCGGCCUCUCAAAGUGCUGGGAUUACAGGCAUGAGCCAUCGUGCCCAGCCUAUGGUACACCUUUACUGAGGAAACAAUUCAGGAACAUCACUCUUAGUAAGGCAAUUGUUGAUUAUAAGUCAAAAAAACACUAUCAUGUACAAAUUCAGGGGAUUUUGCAUACCUUGUUUUUUUGGUUACAAAUAUGCAAAAUUAAAGAUGUUUGCUAAUACUUGUUUCCAAUUUUUAAACUUUUCAAGUGUUGCACUGUUAAUAAUGUUAAAAUAAAAGGCAUUUGACUUAG